GAUGGCAUCGUUGGAAUCUUUUAUGGCCGACGGAUUUCGUUGGAGCUUUCAGAAAGUUAUCUACGGCCGUAUAUUUGCAUUAAUUUAUUGCAAAUAUAAAAGACUUUUGCGAUGAUUGAUCGCAGCAUGUUGAACAUUCAUAUAAUAUAAUAUAUUCGCGGCUUAUCUGACAAUCGACGGCGAUAGCAAAGGGCGCUAUGGCGAAAAAGAUUUAGCCAUAAAGAUCAAAUCGGACGAAAGGCUAAAUAAAAAUCCACCAAACACUCGAGUUGGUGGUCGCUCAUAAAAAUCGAAGGGGCUAGGUAUGGUAUUGAUAAGGGGGGCGGUCGGGUGGCGGUUAAACCCUUAUCAAUGCGCCGGACUACUUAAUUGGCUUGAUAUUGCCCUACUACCCCAACUACCGUGUGGCCAAGUGUGGAUUGUGAUUGAUUCCAUUCCGAAUGCUAAAUACGCAGACGGGAUCGGGUGCCCCUUUUAAAUUGGUUUCACGAUUGCGAUCGGAUCGCGAAAUAUGUGUGUGAUUACUCCACUUACGAGUGUUUCAUUAACAGACCCACUCCACUCGAUUCGAAUCUCAAUCAGCCAUGAAUGUUGUUUCUAUAUAAUCGGCUUCAGAUUCGAUUUCGAUUUCGCUUUCAAUUCAACCCCCUCUCCCCCUUCCCAGUUUGGAUUUCACUGGGUCUCAGGUGCUUUCCACUGGGGGUUUAUCUGCCUCAAUUGCGCGAAUUGUUUAUUAAAACAUUAUCAAUAUCUGUAAUCCACAGUCGGAUCCACUUCACGCUGUUCUACACUCGUUUCGUCUGGCUUUGGCCUUUGUCAUUAGUCCCAUUGACAACUGCUAAUUGUGAGGUCCACCCUAAAGGAUGUGUUUGGGCUGCUGCUGCUGGAGGGUCCACAAGCUAGUGUCUGAAUUUGAGUCACAACCCGUUGCAAAUGCUGGCGUUGUUGUCGUGGAAUAAUUAAAGCAAAUUUGCACUUCAGACAGUCGCCCGUGGAAAAACAAGGCAAACAUCUCAGCUCUCAGCACUGGCGACCCACAACAAGAGCGGUGCCGAAUCACCAAACCCAGGUACAAUCGAGGAUACCGCCUCCUUAAGGAGCGACAAAACCCCAAAGGAAUUUCACGGAUAACAAUCCGACUGCAGCAUACCCCGUAAUAAAUUAAACCAAAAAGUAUGGCAUUCCUUGCAAGCUGCAACUUUAAGCUACGUAAUAAACAUGUCUUAUCUUUAAUAUUAAGUUUUUAAUGCUAAUCUAGACAAAGACCUCUGCCAUCGCAUGCUUGUUACCUGCUUGCCAGCUUAUCUGAUAUACCCCUUUCAAAUAGAAAUUCCGCUUAUAACAACAACAACACCGUCAGCUGCCAGUGCCAACAUCAACAAAAAGGGGUGCUCCAAAGUGUUUCGAGGACUCGUACCUCCUACGACGACAAUUGCAACAACAGCAAUGCAGAACAAAACGCCAGUCAGCCGGGAAAGUACGCAAAAAAAUGUCUUUAUGUACGAAAGGCAAGAGCCAACAACACAAAAAACAAUGCCAGUGAGUGGCACAGAGCGCUGGAACAGGAGCGGUUCAUCUGGAGGAGAAGCUAUGGUAAUGCCACACUAAGUUUUGAGUUCCUAACUAUAAGGAUUAUGUUAACAAAUAGUUGCCUCUUUUAUGCUAAGCAGAUUGGAAAAAUUACGUGUACGUAACUGCGUAUGCGUCAUUUUUUUGGAAUUGCGUAUACGCAGUUACGUAUACGUAUAUUUUAAUGGAAGUUAAGCCGAAUAUGAAAACAGCACUUAAUAAAGAUAACGAUUAAUUUGUUAAAAUGUUGUACAAAACAACGUUAAAUAUUUAA